CAAUUUCUGGCGGUUCUUGUUUCCCCACCACAUAAGCGAAAGCUGCACAGUCCGAUGGCUAUGGACAUCAUAGUCAUUUUCGCUUUUCACUAGUACUCAAUUUCACCGUGAGGGAGCCACACGGCAACAGCAAAAAUGGCGGCACCCAGCGCAAACGGCUUGGCGAUUCCACCAAAAACAUUUUAUGCUCGUUCUUCAAAAAACAAAGCUCCCAGGGUCAAGGAUAUGAUAUAGCCUGCAUGCAUUCGGGUGACGACAGCGACUUUGGUGACCUGACUGACGACGAUCGACGAACACAUUCCAGACAGUGCACCCAGGCUUGCCACAGAUGAUACUGACAACUCUGAUCAGUCCUCCGAAGAGGAUGAAGACGAUGGCGGCAACUUGCACUGCGGCACAGGAUCCGUGGACAGGGGUCACUGGAGAAAGCGCCUGAUGGAUUGCUGCCUCCCUGCAUUCGCAGACACAUCCACGCAGCCUACCAAGGUUCAUUCUUUCCUGUCUUACUUCAGACAGUUCGUAACCCCAUCAAUGAUGAACGCAGUAGUUCGGGAGACGAACCUGCACAGCACCCAGACCUCUGGAAAAUUCCUGAAUGUCGCGGAGAGCGAGCUUGACCAGUUUGUUGGUCUGUACUUAUUGAUGGGGCUGGUGCAGAUGCCCAGUGCUCGCAGUUAUUGGGAACAUGGAACGCGGUUUUCUCCCAUUGCGGAUAUAAUGCCACGCAACCGGUUCGAGAAAAAUCAUGCGCCUUUUGCACUUCACGGACAACAACGAAGCCAGCGACGAAGCAAAACAGGACAAAGUAUGGAAAAUCCGCCCGUGGUUAGAUGAACUUCAGCAAAACUUCCUUACUGUAGAACCCGAACAACUGAACAGUUUGGAUUGAAAUCUAGAAGAUGGUACAUGUACCUUUUUUAUCAAACUCUCAUGAUGAGUAUAGUGAACGCCUGGCUUCUGUACAGGCGUCACUGCGACAGCCUCAGUGCGAAAAGUGUGAGGCUCUGACCAUUCCAGGCUGGCAUAGCCCAAUGCCUCAUCGCAGUGGGCAAAAAUCCAGUUGGAAGACGAUCCUCAUUUGGAAUACCAGCUUCCAAAAAACGCCAAGACUGUUCAAGCUCACCCGACGACGAAGUGUGCAAGGAUGGAGUUGUCCACAUGCCAGUUUGGGGCACCAACAGGCUCAGGUGCAGGCAUUGCCCUCCAGCAAAGAACUCUUUUUCUUUUAAUUAUUGUGGCAAGUGCAAUGUGCAGUUAUGCCUCAAUAAGGAUCGCAAUUGUUUUGCUGCGUAUCACAUGUAAGGCAUACUAUAUGUACUUACUAGCAGUAAUGCCCAGUGUAUCAUAUAAGAUACGCUUUGUAUUACGCAUAAAUCUCUCUCCAAAAAAUAAAACCUUGUUUGGCUAUCCUUUCUGACACA